UGGGGAAUCUUGGACAAUGGGCGCAAGCCUGAUCCAGCCAUGCCGCGUGAGUGAUGAAGGCCCUAGGGUUGUAAAACUCUUUCGUGGGGGACGAUAAUGACGGUACCCCAAGAAGAAGCUCCGGCUAACUUCGUGCCAGCAGCCGCGGUAAUACGAAGGGGGCUAGCGUUGUUCGGAUUUACUGGGCGUAAAGCGCGUGUAGGCGGGCUGGAAAGUUGGGGGUGAAAUCCCGAGGCUCAACCUCGGAACUGCCUCCAAAACUUCCAGCCUGGACUCAAGUAGAGGCAAGUGGAAUUGCGAGUGUAGAGGUGAAAUUCGUAGAUAUUCGCAGGAACACCAGUGGCGAAGGCGACUUGCUGGACUUGUAGUGACGCUGAGACGCGAAAGCGUGGGGAGCAAACAGGAUUAGAUACCCGCGUAGUCCCUGAGCGGGCUGGCAAGGCGCAU
rnacentral:rRNA from 1 species